rnacentral:rRNA from 1 species
GACGAACGCUGGCGGCGUGCUUAACACAUGCAAGUCGAACGGAAAGGCCCUGCUUUUGUGGGGUGCUCGAGUGGCGAACGGGUGAGUAACACGUGAGUAACCUGCCCUUGACUUUGGGAUAACUUCAGGAAACUGGGGCUAAUACCGGAUAGGAGCUCCUGCUGCAUGGUGGGGGUUGGAAAGUUUCGGCGGUUGGGGAUGGACUCGCGGCUUAUCAGCUUGUUGGUGGGGUAGUGGCUUACCAAGGCUUUGACGGGUAGCCGGCCUGAGAGGGUGACCGGCCACAUUGGGACUGAGAUACGGCCCAGACUCCUACGGGAGGCAGCAGUGGGGAAUAUUGCACAAUGGGCGGAAGCCUGAUGCAGCAACGCCGCGUGCGGGAUGACGGCCUUCGGGCUGUAAACCGCUUUCGCCUGUGACGAGGCGUGAGUGACGGUAAUGGGUAAAGAAGCACCGGCUAAUUACGUGCCAGCAGCCGCGGUGAUACGUAGGGUGCGAGCGUUGUCCGGAUUUAUUGGGCGUAAAGGGCUCGUAGGUGGUUGAUCGCGUCGGAAGUGUAAUCUUGGGGCUUAACCCUGAGCGUGCUUUCGAUACGGGUUGACUUGAGGAAGGUAGGGGAGAAUGGAAUUCCUGGUGGAGCGGUGGAAUGCGCAGAUAUCAGGAGGAACACCAGUGGCGAAGGCGGUUCUCUGGGCCUUUCCUGACGCUGAGGAGCGAAAGCGUGGGGAGCGAACAGGCUUAGAUACCCUGGUAGUCCACGCUGUAAACGGUGGGUACUAGGUGUGGGGUCCAUUCCACGGGUUCCGUGCCGUAGCUAACGCUUUAAGUACCCCGCCUGGGGAGUACGGCCGCAAGGCUAAAACUCAAAGGAAUUGACGGGGCCCCGCACAAGCGGCGGAGCAUGCGGAUUAAUUCGAUGCAACGCGUAGAACCUUACCUGGGUUUGACAUGGAUCGGGAGUGCUCAGAGAUGGGUGUGCCUCUUUUGGGGUCGGUUCACAGGUGGUGCAUGGCUGUCGUCAGCUCGUGUCGUGAGAUGUUGGGUUAAGUCCCGCAACGAGCGCAACCCUUGUUCACUGUUGCCAGCACGUUAUGGUGGGGACUCAGUGGAGACCGCCGGGGUCAACUCGGAGGAAGGUGGGGAUGACGUCAAGUCAUCAUGCCCCUUAUGUCCAGGGCUUCACGCAUGCUACAAUGGCUGGUACAGAGAGUGGCGAGCCUGUGAGGGUGAGCGAAUCUCGGAAAGCCGGUCUCAGUUCGGAUUGGGGUCUGCAACUCGACCUCAUGAAGUCGGAGUCGCUAGUAAUCGCAGAUCAGCAACGCUGCGGUGAAUACGUUCCCGGGGCU